rnacentral:rRNA from 1 species
AUACGGAGGGUGCAAGCGUUAUCCGGAAUCACUGGGUUUAAAGGGUGCGUAGGUGGACCUAUAAGUCAGAGGUGAAAGCCCACAGCUUAACUGUGGAAUUGCCUUUGAAACUGUAGAUCUUGAAUAAGGUUGAGGUUAGCGGAAUGAGUCAUGUAGCGGUGAAAUGCAUAGAUAUGACUUAGAACACCAAUUGCGUAGGCAGCUAGCUAGGCCUUUAUUGACGCUGAGGCACGAAAGCGUGGGGAGCGAACAGGAUUAGAUACCCUGGUAGUCCACGCCCUAAACGAUGCUAACUCGAUGUUUGGUCUAUAAGAUUGAGCAUCCAAGGGAAACCGUUAAGUUAGCCACCUGGGGAGUACGUCGGCAACGAUGAA